rnacentral:rRNA from 1 species
GGAAGUCUUCCACAAUGGACGAAAGUCUGAUGGAGCAACGCCGCGUGAGUGAAGAAGGGUUUCGGCUCGUAAACUCUGUUGUUAAAGAAGAACAUAUCUGAGAGUAACUGUUCAGGUAUUGACGGUAUUUAACCAGAAAGCCACGGCUAACUACGUGCCAG